rnacentral:sRNA from 1 species
AUUCGAGCGAAAGCGAGAGAACGUUGCCACAGGCAACGGCCCGAAGGGUGAGGAGCGAAGCGACGAAUAAUCCUUCCCCCACCACCA